UUGACUGGUUUCCCGCUUCCCGCGGGGGACUCGGAGGGGCCUAGGCACGCCACGUAGUUUCGGACGGGGUACCGCCGGCGGGUCCCGGGUGGCUCCGCCCUGGAGCCGCCCGCCGAGGCACGUUGCUGGUAGGUUCGCGAUGGUUUGGGAGCGGUCCGGGCCGGCUCGUCAAUGAUCCCUCCGCUGGUUCACCAACGGAGA
rnacentral:misc_RNA from 1 species